rnacentral:rRNA from 1 species
CAGCCGCCGCGGUAAUACGUAGGUGGCAAGCGUUGUCCGGAAUUAUUGGGCGUAAAGGGCUCGCAGGCGGUUUCUUAAGUCUGAUGUGAAAGCCCCCGGCUCAACCGGGGAGGGUCAUUGGAAACUGGGAAACUUGAGUGCAGAAGAGGAGAGUGGAAUUCCACGUGUAGCGGUGAAAUGCGUAGAGAUGUGGAGGAACACCAGUGGCGAAGGCGACUCUCUGGUCUGUAACUGGCGCUGAGGAGCGAAAGCGUGGGGAGCGAACAGGAUUAGAGACCCCAGUAGUCCCUGUCUCUUAUAC